rnacentral:lncRNA from 1 species
UAUGUUAGGGUGAGAGCUGGGCAUGCUGAAAGAAAACUGCAGGUGUUACUAGGCUUGUAUGUGCUAUGGAUGACAGCAGUAUACCGAUUCCCAAAUUUGACAAUAUAUCUGAGUAUCUGAGGUAAGAUGUAGUGUACUAGCAGUUACAGAGUUGGGUGCUGAUCAUCACUGAUCAGGAAUGUGCAAGAGACCCUGCUGCUUGUCCAGAAAGGCAAGGAAUGUUUGGUCGUGUAGAGAAAAUGCUUAAACAAGAGAGAGAACCAACGUAGCAGCAGGCCGUCCUGCAGCCGCCCAAGCACUAAACCACCAUAACGCAUCUGAACCAAUAUCGAUCUUCCAGGCGAUACAGUGUAAUAACAGGUGACGACUCAAUCCAUAUCUCCAAUUAAUGGAAUCAGAAAGUCCCUGAAUUACAUGUAUAUAUGUGAAUGGAAUAAUGGAUAGAAAUUCUAAUGGAUAGAUCAAGACGCCGAACAAUUAACUGAAUAAUUUGUCCCUCGCAAAGAUAAAAUAUAUAGAAUUAUUCAGCAUGGACUGCAAUCAAAUCAAGAUCCGUGGGAACCACAGGUCGGUUAGGGCCGCACCCCGGAGUACCGGACAGCGAGCUAGCUAGCUGGUCGAUGGACAGGCUGAGAUGGGGAUUAAAGGCGAUGGGAGAUGCAAUUGAGCGCAGAUGGUGCGUGAUUUGACAGGGACCGAGGAGGGGAUCGGGGAAGGGAUACGUUACGUACGUACGUAGGUAGGCGCAGUGAGGGCGAUCCACGCGUGGUCCAUGGCCAUGUUUGUUUCCUUUCCCUUUCAGCCGCGAGGCGAGGCCACCACUUCUCCCAACUCCGUCCACCCAUUCGCGCACACAACUGCAAAGCGUCCACCACUUCCUAUGUACGGUAGCAUGCACUCACUUUUUCUGCUCAACAAAAAAACCUCGUUGCAAUUCAAAAAGAACAAAAAACAAACGACCCGAAAAGAAAUUAACCAACCUCGUUGAGCGCAAAGUGCAGAAAUUCAGGUAACCAGAUUCUGUGUAUAUUUGAAAGUGGACUUUUAGUAGAGGACAAUAGAUCUGGCUGACAAACGUCAACAAACACUAGAACGAGCAGAAGGUGAGCAAUUGUUCUUUCCCGGCCCCUCCAUCACCGGAGCCAGAAAAAGCUUGGCAAAUGAGAGCUUGUUGUAGUAGACGGUGAGGUAGUCUCCUUCCGUGUAGUACCGCUUCGGCUAGGGAUCUUGUGUCUGAUUUUAAAGUGGUCUUUUUUAGAGAGAAGAUAGUAAACCAAGAGACUUCUAAUCAGUGUUUGUCAUGACAAGAUUUGAAUAUUCUAAAGGCUUGAGAUAUUACAAAAAGGGGGUUGACUUUUACAAUGAAAGAUAGUAAACCAAUUUCUUCACGGUAAUCUAGGAACUCUAGAACUAAAAAACAUAUCAGCAUGAAGUAUUCAAGAAUAAUAUAUUUAUAAGUGUAGGGUUUGGAUGGUUGCCACUUGACACUAACCCAACGGUACUGUAAUCCUGUAAGUAGGGGUGCUCUCUCACCCCAUGAAGUGUACCAUACCACACCAAGAAGUAGAGGCCCCUGUGCCAAAUUCAAAAUGGGGUCCUAUAGUUGAGGAUGCUAAUAACCAACCCGAACUAAAAACUAACGACUCAACUUGAUUUUUUUUCUUUCACUUUUCAUAACAUAAUAAUCAUACUUCCUAACUCUAAAACAAAUGGUGAGGACCAAGGAAAUAAACGUUUUCUGUUAUGCAAACAGAAAAACAAAGAAUAUAUAUAUUAGCAUACGAAUUCUAGUUUUAGCAAGACAAUAUAAGAAAAAAGAAAAGCGUGAUACAAUUAAAGAAAAAAAACUUGAAGACGUGGAGUUCACAGAAAUGUGGUUGCACGUCGCCACAUCCCGCGAUAAUAAAUUGACUAUCCGUAAAAUCAUAACAAAAACAGUUCAAUAUGUAUUAGUAAUAUGGGCUAGACCGGGUUUCAUAUUCUACUGAUUUGUCUCCCAAGUGGGCUGACCUAAAUCAAAUAUCUACCGUGGUUUAGUUUUUCUUUUUUCUGCCUAUUCUCAAUUUGGACCUUUAGUAAUUAAUUAUAUUUAAUACUAAUUACGUAAAAUUUGGGGGCCAUAAUAUUUUUGGGGCCCUAUGCGGUCGCCCACUCUGCUCCUGCUAGCAUACGACCCUAUGAUCUAACAUGAGAGUUUUUAGUUAUACAAUGAGAGUGAGUUUACACUGACGCUAGUAGUAGGGUAGCCAAAAAGAGGAGUGUUGUACCAAAAUUGUAAUAUUGAAUAAAGAGUUAACUUAAAUUUCAUAUAUGAUUUCGCAAGUAUC